ensembl:lncRNA
GCGGCCUGGAGCGGGGAGCUGCGUGCCGCAAGUUUUGCCCGGAGUGCCAAAGUUGGGCUCAGCCCAGGUUCCUGGAAACUUGAGGAGCAAUCUUCUGUGCCUGAAGAAUGCAGUUCUCACCGGAUGUGUGUAUCCUACAUGAAGGGGAACAGAAGCAGGAUCAGCUGGGGUCCAGGAAAGACAACUUCAGGAGAUUUGAGAGCACUCUGGAGUGAACCAGGAGGAAGCCUUGAACUACAAUUGUGUCAGUAAGAGUGGCUGUCCUUGGGAGAUGCUGAAGCUCAGCUUUAUCAUGAACUUUUCUUACACCCCUCAACAUAUGCACAAAGGACUUAAUUUUGUUUGGGAUUCAUGUGGUAUGAAAGAGUCAUGGCUGUAUGGGUUUCUUCCUCCCUUCACUUGAUGUCUGUAUGUUUCCUGCAGUCAGUAAUGAAGUCUGUACAAGGUCUGCUGACAUUUGGUUUGCUUUCAAGAGCUCUGAGUGACAGGUACUGUAAACAUCCUACACUCUCAGCUGUGGAAACUAAGAAAGCUGGGAGAAGGCUGUUUACUCUCCCUGCCUUGGAAAUCAUCUGGAGGGCGAGGAUGGAACGUUGUGAGCUCUGUGUUCAUUGUAUUUCUGACAGCCUGUAUUUCUUAUUUUAUGUUUGGUGUCAGUAAACAAAUAAUAGCAUUAUAUCAUGCCAUCAAGCUCUUGAGUUCUGACUGAGGCUUGAACUCAUAAUAAUAAUUUUAAAAAAGGGCCUUCUGUACAAUACACUUAGCUGCAGUCCUGGCUUGAGGGAAACGCAAAUGGUAGCAGUAACACACAACAAGACCUUCAUCCUUAAAUACUGGGUAAAACAGACCUAUUUUACUGUUUGUUACAAGUUAGUGUGCAUGUUUUCAGGUCCACACAUCAGUGGUGUCUUUUGUUAAAGUCCUCCUUAAAUGUUUGGGUCUUGUGUUCACUCAAUUUAUGUUUUCCUACCUAGAGAGACUAGAAACAGAUGUCUGAAGGCAAAAAAAGGGUUCUCGGGGACUUCAAGUUUCAGUUCCUAUUUGAAGAAAUUGAGAUAUCAACCCCAGGUAGCUCUGUUUUUGAAUAAACUAAAUUAAAGAUGCAAAAGUAUUUAGCUUGGGUUUUAUACUAGCUCUUCUCUGCCACCUGCCAUCCAGACUGAAUUAUUGUUUGUACUUUUCUUGGCAAUCUUUCUUCUUUCUCUCGUUUCUAUUUCCCAUUAGUUAAGUAGGGCUUCUCAUUUUAAAUGUAGAAUAAUUUUUUACUUUCAUUUUAAAUCCAAAAUCGUACUGGCAUGGACUAAAUCCUCAUAAAAUGUACUUUUACAGCUAUUCUUAAGCAGUGAUGUUGGCAGAAAUGCUAUUAUUCAUGCACUUUCUUUUUUUAAAUUUAUUGGAGGGAGCCAUCUUUUGUGCUUUCAAAGAAUUUCUUCGUAAUUCAGUUAAGUGCAAAGAUAACCUUUUCUCUAUCGUCAUAUUUAAAGAUCUGCUGCUUUAGACUUUUAGCAAAAGUAUUUAAACAAAAAAGCUCUGAUAUAAGAAAUGUCCUAAAGAUUUUAAGUAAUUGGAUUUGGGAAGUGAUGGAAGUGGAAAGAGAACAGCAGAAUGGUAGAUCUUGUAAGGUUGUGAAAUAGUACUUCUGCAAAGUGGUCAAAAAAGGGAAUUCAAACAGGCAGAUCUUUAAAGAAAAGAGGGGUGGGAAAAGUCCGUGUUCUGAAGCAGUAAUUAUUUAGGAAAAGGAAGUGGAGGGAAAGAAAGUCCUGGGGUCCAGUAAAGUACCAUAGACAGGGUUUAAGAUGAUGAGAUGAGGUCUGGCUUUACAUAAACCUGAAGAACUGGUGUUGAUGAGGUUUUGGCUCUUGAUAUGUACAGUGAUACUACAAGUGAGGUUAGUCUUAUAAAAAGAUGGUUUUAUGGAGAAAUGAGUUGUUCAGACUAGUAAAACGAUAGAGGGUAGCAUUUCCUAACACACGUGGUUCCCUCAGCAGAGAGAUAUCUCCAACAGUGAUGGAGCACAGAAUUCUAUCCUCCAUCCUAUGAUAAUUCUGAUUGUAGGCUGUGCUGUUGAGAACACAGUUUCUUGAAAGGAGACGUCAGCUUUAAUAUGUGUUUUACUGUCUUUUUUGUUUUUAAUAUAGAUUUGCUUUAGGCUAGGAACCGCUGUUUUCUGUCAGAUGGAAAAAUCUAUGUUUAGCAUUAUCUAUUUGCUGUCUAAUGGUGAAAUUCCAGCUUUCGUUUUAUCUGUGUAAGUUGGGACUGUUGAAGCUUUUCUCAUACGUUUUUCCUUGGCCAUUCUUUCCUGUGGUUUCACUUGUGCUGGUAUUAAUGUUUGUUUAAACAGUGAGCUUACAGUGGCUCGACUCAGCUGAAAAUUAAACAAGCAAACCAGCUUUUAUCUGGACCAGAUGAGUAAUAGCUUACUGCACUACCAUGGUGCUGUGGCCAAAAUGCUGAUACCUUCAAACAUGUCCACCUUUCUGAAGGGCUAGAACAGAUUUUGCUGUAAAUAAGACCAUCGAAUCCUAAUGCAAUGAGAGAGUGAAAACACAGGAUUUUGAAUGCUCUUGUAUUUGGCAGUAGAUUGUUCUGUUGAUGCUGUUUGAAAGCAAUUGCCAGCAUAGUGCUGAAAUAAAUUUGGAUUAAAUUAUCAUGAUUAAAACUUUUGAUUUCUUGACAGCUAUCUAUGCUUCUGUGUCUUUGAAAGAUUUGUUUAUAAAGUGUAAUAAACAAAUUGUGUUGGUAAUGAGGAGCUACCAGUAAUUUUGCUGCCUCCAGAUCUUUAACUGUAAAGGUAUCUUUGGAUAUAUUUGCACCAGACAAAGCAUUGUGUAAAUUGCAUUAUUUCUAGGUCAUGUUUCGGUCUUUUUCCAUAAGUAUCACUUACCAAGCCAAAGGCAAGCUGAACAUUCUUUUCUUGUGCAAAACUCAGAUUUCAAGGAGUUUAAGACUUUCCAAUCAACUAAACAUAGAACUUUCCUAUUGUGAAAAAACAUACUCAGCUUUUUCAAAACUGUUGCCAAUAAUGAGUUUUGGGUUGGGUCCUUAGGUAAUCUGGAGAGCUACCGCAGCAAAUUGUCUGUGGGAAAUCUGUGAUUGGAGGCAUGGGCAAAAUCUGUGAUUGUAGGCAUGGGCCUUUUGCUGUUUUUUUUUUUUCUUAAUGAGUGUUCUGCUAAGAUGCAAAAGUGACUUACUCUGUGUGAUUCUUGGCACUGCUCAGGACGGUGUCAUUCUUGUGUGCUAAGCUCAACGUGUUCCUUGGAUUGGCUGAUUGACUUUUAAAUGAGGAAGAAGACAUCUUACUAAUUAACCUUUUCCUUACUGCUAAGCAUUAAAGUGUAGGGGGUGAAAAUUACAGUACUCAAAUUUAAUAUAUAUGCUUCACACACGUGAAGCAUAUAUAUUUUUUUCUAGGCUACAUUUUUGAUUAUGUAGCCCCUAGAAGUAAUUACCUAAUAUCCAGUUUUGGUAGUGUAGGGAGUGACUGUGGGAAGAAAGAGUGCUUGGGAGUCCUUGGGCAAAGCUGUCUCUUGUUUGAAGAUUGCAGCCUGACCUUGGGUUUUACAAGUGGAAUAUUAGAGAAACAUUGCAUUAGAAGUUUCAAAGAGCUGCCAGUGGGGGAAAAGGGAGGUGAAGGAGAAAGAGAGGAAGAGAUGUGGGUUACUUGUCAUACAAAGGGGGGGGGAUAAUAUCCAGCUCAUUUUCAGUGCAAAUGAUUUCUUGAUAAUACAACAAAAGAGCAACAAUUGUCCUUGAUGCUUAUACAAAAGUUGAGGAUUUCUUUUAUGCAGUAAAUCUGACUGUCAGGGACUCUAAUUCAGUGUGUGAGAAUUGAAAGGUUUGUGACAAGCUAUUGUACUUUGAAGACCUCUAUUUUAAAAUCAAAGAAAAAGAUUGCUUUGAAUGAGAGAGUGGAAGAAUAAGGCAUUAUAUGGGCUUCAGUUACAACUGCCCCUGAAAUUAGUGGAUUCUAGACUUGAAUAUUUUCUGAGCUGUGAUGGAGAUAAACAUGUAGAAGCAACUCUCUGUGUACAAAAAAUAAACAGGUGUAACAUCUAUAAUAUAUUUGGAAUGUGUAAUAGCAUUAGUUAUUUAUUAGUUAUAUAUAUAUAUAUAUAUAUUAGUUGUUAUAAUAUAGUUUGGAAUGUGUAAUAGCAAAGUCAACUUAGUUAAAUUUAAAACAGAGCAAACACCUUGGCUUCACUUCAUGCUUUCUUCAAACUUAGGUUUUGUUCUUUGUGCACCUUCCUGGAUGCUUUUUUUUCCUCUUAGAAAAGCACUUUACUAAACAGAAUGCUGAAGCUUCUUUUAUUCUUGUGUGCAACUUUGCUUCUUGUCAGCUCUGGGCUCUAUCCAAGACCCACUCAGCUACAGGUAGGCUUUUGUUCCCUUAUUUUGCUUUGGUUUUGUGGAUGUUAGUGUGAAUUAAAUGGAAAUAAGCUUUUGUAGCAAUUGCUUUGUGUAACGAGCAACAGUUAAACUAAUCACUGCAGUCUAUGUCUAUGAAGUGUCUCAGAAGAGAAGCUUAGGGCUUGCUUCUUUUAAAUAGUGUAUUAUGAUGGCUAAUUGCAUCUUAUCUAAUUCUUCAAGAGGGAGAGUAGAGUGAGGCUGUGUUGCCUUAGCUUUACAACACUUAACUCCCCUCCACAGGAGGAAAUAGUUCUGUUCCUGCUGCAGUUAAUGGGAAAUUCUUGUUGCUGCCUCUAUCCUGUUCUUGAGGUGCUGAAAUAAUAUGGCAGAGCAAGAGACUGUGAUCCUGGCUUUGGAGAGAACCUUUGCACUUCAUUUUCUCUUUUGUGAAAGAAAAUGAUGCUUUCUCACAAGGCGGGGUAUGGUAAACAAACAGAAAUCUCUUUUUGUGCUGAAACAUGUUGCCUAAAAUCGUAUCACUGUGUCCUAGUUUAUCUUGUUAUGUUCCAGUCUUUCACUAUGGUCUAGAGAGAUUGCAGUGCUUGGUUGUAUUACUGGAAAAGAACAAAGGACCUGACACAGGGUUAUCAUAUGUGUUGCUAAAAGUUCCUUCUUGUGCUGCUGGCAUGUUAACCUCCCACCAUGUCCAUGUUGGUGUGCAGCUCCUCUUCUAGGAGCGUGCUGGGGCGGUGCUUCAUCAAUUGCAGCACAAACGUCAGCUAUAAGCUAGCCUCUCCACCACUUGCUGACACCCUAGGCGUGCUCUUAGAUUGGGGUAGGGUUCAGGCCACCCCACUGCAUUAUUGAGGUCAGCAGGGCUAAAUCAACACUGUCGCCAGCUGAGGACUUCUGGGCUUUGUGUCAUUUAAGGCCAUCCUCGAGUUGUUUCUCAGCAUCCUGAAGCACCACUGAAAAAAUGCUGCUAAAACAACUCCAGUUGGGCACCAGUGGGGCAGUGGUGUUGAUGCAGACAAAUGAAAUAACUUAAGGAUCUGCGAAGUUCCUGUUCUUUAGAUGCCUCAAUGUAACUAUAAACUCCAUGAAUAGUUGAGCUUUGUGCAACUUGUCCAGCUUGCAGAUGUUUUUGGCGACGAUGUUUGGAGGCUGUAAUCUCAUGCUUAGUUGGUGCAGUACAGUUGAAAUGCACACAGCGAUAGAUUUUCCUUCUCCUUAGUGCUUUCCACGCUCACUGCUUUGACAGUAAUGGAGCUUCUAAUUAAGAUCUCGCAGCUUCAAUUCGUGCAAUUGAUGAAAUGUUCCAAUAUGCUCUAUGUGCAGAUUGCAUAGAAGGGCAGAUCAAAUCUAAAUGGAAACAGAGAAGGUUUUAUCACCUUGGGGUAAUUGCAUGUAGCGUGCAGCCGUUGAAAUUAGAUGUGACAAAAGCGGUUGUCUCUGUUGUCACUCAGAGCAGCUGUGGGUCACGGGGCACAGGUCUGUGAAAGCAGGGGUGACCAGGCCUGUCUGCUCCUUGACAAACAGUCUGAACUGUGUGCUCACAGUAGUGCUUGCUGUGUUUGUGUCCAGAAGCCUGUCAAGCUGACUUCUAGGGACCCUGGCCCUUCUUAUUCCCAUUAUAGUGCCCCUUGGUCCCCAGAAAGGGGCUUUCCUUUGGGGUGCUCAGCUCUUGCUUUGCUGUUUAAACAUCAGCCUUAUUUUAUGAUAGUUCUUGCUGAAGUUUGCACACUAUCUGAAAGCUUUAGCAAGUAUCCAAACCAAGGAUACUUGGUGGGAGUUGAACCCUAUUGCUGAUGCGAAUCUCUUUUCUGCUCUUUCCAGUGGCAAGCUUUAUUCUGCCAAUGUGUUCUUACCUAUGGUUUACCCAAUGUUUGUCUUUUCUGCAGAGCUGUGUGCCUGUUUGUCUAAAUGCUCCUCAGUGAGGCUUUGUUGCUCUCCAGCUCAGAGCCGGUUAGAGCUGUGGAACCGACUGCAGCCUGGGCCUGUACUGUGGUAGGAAGGGAGCACAGCUAAACUCUUGAGGACAAAAGACAAUGAAUGGACAGUAUAUAGUAAGGUUUUUUGUGAGCUGCUCAGCUCUUCCAAGUGGGGGAGGAAAAGGAUCAAAAGUGAGGAAUAUUAAAGACAAAUUGAAGCUGAUGUUUGAACUACCAGUCCAGGAAACUCCAGAUACAAACUGAAUGGAAAGUUUUCCUCUGAAGUCUACAAAGAAUUUUCAAGGACAAAUCUGAAUGGAGAACAGCAAGGAUUUUCAUCUUUGUGUACUGGAACGAAGUAGUCACUGGCAGCUGGAAAAGAAACUUCAGAUUCUUGGCAGUAAACAAAAAAAAAAGGGUCCAGCUCAGAGUCUGGGGCUGAGUAGAUUUAAAGGCUUUGAGGGGCAAAUCUAAUGGUUUGGGUACAUACAAUAGAACACAUUUAUGAAAAUGAUGACGUGGGAAAUGAAGUGUAUUAGUUAGGGCUUCAAAAUAUGUAUACCUGCAUUUGGGUUCUUUGAGUACAUUUUCAGGCUGGAACAAUGUCUGAAAAUAUCUCAAACACAUUGCUUGCGCUUCAGGUUGCAGUCUGUCACUUAACUUUAAAAGAGUCAUGGAUUAUGUGCUCUGAGGUUUACAGAGAGCAAAAUCCUGGUAGGGCAGGUGUUAGGGAUGGACUCGUGUGUCCUUGAAGUGCUCCCCUCCCGCUGCAUCCCUUCCUGAACUUCUAAGGAACUCCACAAGUCUGGAUCCAUUUCAGUUCAGAUUCACCUGAAAUAAAGGUGAAUGUAUAUAGCCAUCACCAGCAGGGUGAGGUUGUCUGUCUUAGCUUUCCAGGGUGGUUUUUAAUGUCUGAAUUUGGACUGAGACAUCAGAAGAGAUGUGCAAGGGAAGAAAGAUUCAUUUUAUUUCAAGCAGGAACAUGGACGUUUUUGUUAAUUGUCUUCUAGGACUUAACCUAUACACGACCUCAUUCUGGGAAACGUGCUCAAAUAGAACAGAAGUUUUCAAAAAAUCAUUUUAUUUUGGAUUUUUUUUAAUUGUAUUUUAAAUUUACAACCAGUUUUAAUAGUAACACACAGGUUUCAGGCAUAGACAAGUACUUCACAUUUUAGUGAAAACAAAACCCUUUUGUGGAAAUAUUCUCUACUUGAAUGAGCUGUUGGGAACUGCAGUUGGAUCCAGACUGGGAUUUGCCCAUGGACAGUGGAGGUGAAUCUGCAGCACAGGCUCAGGAACUCAGGUGGGAUAUGGGAGGCUGAGCUGUAUGUCUCUGUUCUGCCUGCUUCCCCAAGGAAAGCAGUUCUUGAGAUCUUGACAUCUUUUAACAAACAAGAAAAAACACCAGCCUGUCUGUGCUGCCCAUCCCCUCUAACUUCCCAUAUUCUUUUAUUCUGACAGACUUCACUCCAUUGCUUGUUCAUGGACAAGGCAAUAGUGUUAUACUUGGGAGGCUUUGACAUACAGCCUCCUCGAAAGUGUAUUUUCUGAACUGAAUCCUCUUACUCUCAUUUCUGAAGUAGAAGCAUCCAGUUAUGCUUGGGAUACUAUUUUUUUGUGUGUGUGCAAAGGGUUGUGGUAGAAAAGAGGAAUAAGAGCUGACCGUACACAGAAAAGAAAGUAGGAAGGAGAGUAGAAAGUAGGAAAGUAGAAAGUUGAGGAGAAUUUUUUGAGAGAGCCAAAAGAACCAACUUAAUCCCAGCUGAUGCUGUCAGCCCUAUGGAGAUCAACAUUCAACAGCCAGGGCUGCCCUGUUCUGUGGCUGUGUACUGCUAUUGGUCUGCAGCUCCUGCUCCGAGGAGCUCGUCUGAUCCCACUGGGGGGAGUUCAGUACCAACUCUCAGCUGAUGUUCCAUGCCUUGGGUUUUGUAGCUGUGCUGGUUGAAAUCUGCCAACAGCAGAGCACUACACAGCUGUGCACUUGUGUUCAAAUUAAAAAAAAUUACUUACUAAGACCAAAAAGGAAGAGAAAAGGAAAAUAGUACUGAUAAUAACGUAUAUUUGUAAAAUAAGUGAUGCAUAAUGCAAUUGCUGACUGAUGCCCUGAGCAGUGUCUGCCUCCCCUGGCCAGCUCCUGUCUCCAUGGUGUCACAAGGUAUGGAAUAUCCCUUUGGGCAAAUUAGGUCAGCUCUCCUGCCAGUGUCCCCUCCCAGCUCCUUGUGGCUUGCUGGCAGGACAGUAUGAGAACCUGAAAAGUCCUUGGCUCUGUAGAGCAACAACUAAAACAUUGGUGUGUUAUUAACACUGCUUUUAUCCUAAAUCCAAAAUGUAGUAUCGUAUCAGACAACGUGGGUAAAAAAAAAAAAAAAAUCAACCAGCUGAAACAGGACAGGAGCCAAGGAACUAAAUGAUGGAAAAGAAUAGGGUGAAGGAGGUGGAUGUCCAGGCAGACAGUUCUAGAAACAGGCCCAUGGAAAGGCUUAUCUGAAGCAAUCUGAGAAUGGCUUGAGUAGAGAGAAGCUUGGGAAAUGAAGAAAACAUUGUCCAACAGGAAGAGCAGGAGGAGCUGCUGGAGGUGAUGUGCAGCUCCCUGAGUGAGGAGUCCCCACAGUGCCUGCGCAAAAGGAUUUCAGUGCUGAUGCUGUUCUGGUACAGCAAAAGUUUGCUUUUCUUCUUUGCCACUCUGUGCAGAGAAAAAGCAAUCUAAGAUCCAGAGAAUUAAAAGAAAUCAAAUGUUUUCCUCAGUUUUCUUCAGGGCCCUUCAAGGGGGAGGACAGGUGGUAUGGCACCCCAUGCCACCCCUUCUGCCUGCACUGUGGCUGUAUGCCAGUGCAGGGUGUGUCCUUUUGGUUCCAUUGCAGUACACUGCCUCCAGGUAAAACUGAGAAUAAUUGGAGAUAAUGAUAUAGUAGUAACAACUAAAUCUUCUUGCAGUCCCAAGCACAGGUUGGGUGGAGAAUCGUCUGAGGUCAGCCCUGAGGAGAAGGAUUUGGGAGUGUCAGUUGAUGAAAGAUUCAACAUGAGCUGGAAAUGUGCACUUGCAGCCCAGAAGGCCAACUGUAUCCUGGGUUGCAUCAAGAGAAGUGUGACCAGCAGGUUGAGGGAGGGGAUUCUGCCCCUCUACUCUGCUCUCACAAGACCCCGCCUGGAUUAGUAUUACAUCCAGUUCUGGGGACCCCAACACAAGAAGGACAUGAAGUUGUUGGAGCACCUUGGAGCACCUCCUCUAUGAGGACAGGCUGAGAGAGCUGGGGCUCUUCAGCCUGGAGAAGGGAAGGCUCCAGGAGGACGUUAUAGCAGCCUUCCAGUACCUGAAGGGGUAUACAGGAAAGCAGGGAAGGGACUUCUUAUAUGGAUAUGUAGUGACAGAAUGAGGGGAAAUGGAUUUAAACUGGAAGGGGGUAGAUUUAGACUAGAUAUCAGGAAGAAAUUCUUACUGUAGGGAUGGUGAGAUGCUGGAACAAGUUGCCGUGUUUUCUAAUUCAGGACCAUGUUGCUGGAAAAGCAGAAGUGAUUUUUCUGCUUUAGAUCAAUGUGAAUGCUGUAUUCUGCUUAAUCUCCCUGUUCGUUUGGGAUUCGGGCCAUAGUUAAGGCGGUCUGAAGUGUUUUUGCAGCUAGCUAGUCCAUGAAGUACAGCACAUUUGGCCUAUUUUUGGAGGUUCUUUGAGGCAGAGAUGUUUACAACGGUUGCAUAAUGGACAGGACUUCUUUUGUAAAAAUCCUCCUCGUGUGCCAGCAUCUGGUUUCUGCAAUCUCACUGCUAAUCAGCCUGGAGGUUUUAGAAACUUUCCUUUUAUUUUAUUUUUUGUGUUUUAUUUUUUUGCCUGUCAUGUUCCCUGCUGUUGGAGGUGGGGAGAGGUGAGGCCUUCAGACCUGGCAGUAGCACAAAGCUGCUGCUUGCAUUUUUAGAGCUCUGGCCCUAAGCAGUCCAGCUGACAGAGGCCUGCUAUGUUUGCAUUUUGCUGGCACUUUUCAAGUUAUUCUUGUCACCCUCUUAAUACCCUCUUUGCCCCACUGUAUUCUAGAGGGCAUGUUAGAAAAGCAGCACCAAAGGAUGAGAUGAUAAAGUCAGACCAUCUUAGAUGGCUUUCUGUGGAAGGUACUGGGACCCCAUGUCCCUUUGGUACAGGAAAGGGAAAUCUUUUAUUUGAAGAAGGCUGCAGAGAGUUUUAAAUACUAGAGCCUUGGGGAGAGCCUAUUUCACAUUUUCAUUUUGAUUAAAUUUAGCAUUGCUCAUUUUUCUGUCAAAAUUUAUGUUUAGGCAAUGAAUUUGAUAUGCUCAGGAGAUGUGGAUCAUUUCACUUUCUGUGGUUCUUAUAACGAAGGGUCAGGAGGAGGCAAGGCUUGGUAGCUGGCAGUACAGGGAAGUCCUGGCUUGUCUGGCACUGCAGCAUCCCAUCCAUCUGCCCAGGAUUUCUGUCUGUGUUCAGCUCAGUUAAGCAACGUGAUGGUGUUGAUUUCUGUCUGCAACAGAGGGGAUUGCGCUGGGCAGGUAUUUUGUAUUGUGCCGUCCUGCUGGGUUUUUUUUCAGUUGCUCUUUCAGAAGCUCCGAGCUCUUGCCCAGGAUAAACAACCACACUGUGCUGCUGAGUACUGUGCUUGGAACCUUCACACCCAAAUGCAGUCAUUCUAAGGAACAGCUUUGCUCUGUGGACAGACUCCUUCCUUCUGUGAGUAACAGGGUGGAUAGAGAAACAGAUUAACCUUGCACUAUACUAAAGCAACUGUAGGAACAACAAAAUGAGUGUUCACAGCUCAGGAAAAUCUGGAAUUUCAAAUAAACCCACUGCAUUGACCCAGGCACAGUUUGGCAGUCGUUGCUACAGGGUGUUCAAAUUAAACAAUGAGGUUCCUGGUGUGAUGGAAAAGACUUUGCAAAGCACAUUGGUUCCUCCAGGAUCCAAAUGCACUUUCCCUUUCCAAGGGGAGCUGUGGGCAUUUGGAUCCUUGCAGAGAAGUUCCUGAGGCCCUCUAUCAGCAAAACACUUUUAAGCAUGUCCUUAAGCACUUUGUGGAUGAAGGGGAGACAUGAACUCUUAAUUAUCUGUGCUGAAUAAUAAUCUGAGAGGUUACUUGAGUAUCUUUUCUAACACUUAUACUCUAGCUCUGCCCCAAAAGGCUGAGCCCAAGAGGCCAGUGCUUUACCCUCCGGCUGCAUUUGCCUUCUGUGAAUGCGCUCACUAGCCUUCAAGUAAAUGGGGCCGAUAUCUGUCUCUCUGUAGGAAUUUUGCCUGUCCUGAGUGCUUACCAGCUUAGAAGAAUAGACAUUGUGCCUUAUUCAGCUUUAACGGGAGCAGUGUCCAUCUUAUCCAAAUACCGCCGAGUGGGGGGUUAUUAAAUCAUCUGAAGGAAAAAUGAAGAAUGAAACUAGAAGGGGAUCUGGCUUUCCCUUUCACAUGCUCACAUCUGUAGCAGAAGUGUUGGUGGAUGCCUCAGCCCUACGGCACAGCUGGCACUUUGGAGCCCUUCAUGGGAGGCAAAGAAAGAAAGAAAAGAAACACCCCCAUUCCCCCACCAAAGCAGCGAGUGAUUGCAGCUGUUCUCGAGAAGGGUUGUGUCAGCACAACGUGCAUAGCCCUACUCAGAAAGUUGGUGUCAGCAGCCGUAAAAGCUGGCCUGUCAGCAUUUCUGUUGUAUUUCAUACACAAGAUGCAUGUUACUGAACAAUUACACCGAAGGCGGAGAAUAUUCCUUGGGAACACAACUUGGAAGUAGCAUCUUCCUGUGGGAACAGUUCAGACUGUGUGCUGCAGAAACCUGAGUGGUUUGGAUGCAAGGCCUUGCUGCUGGGGCUCACUGCAAGCUGUGUGGGCUGCCAAAGCCAUAGUGCCACAGCCCAGCCGGGAGCCUCAGCCCAUGUAAUUAGUCAGGUCCUGGUAAUUCUAAUGAGCUUCUGAUCAUGCCAACACAUUUAGUGUGAGGGAAGCUGGGUGAUGCUUAAGUUUUUGGCCUCCGAAGCCUUCAGAGGGUAUAUAUAACUCUAGCUUUGUCUACCGGUCUCAAUGUGUCAUUGUGCUGUAGCCACUUUAAAGGGCAGGAUGGAGAGCUGGGAUGGAGUUCUCAUCUCUGCUUACUGGGAAGCAGAAAUUAAUUAAGGAAAAAGCAAAAACCAAACCCAAAGCAAGCAAAAAGUCAUGCUCAGAGUAGUUAAGGAAGCAGGAGGAAAGGAGCAUAAAAUCCCCAGGCACUCGCUGUUGAUUUGAUCUCUAUCUGUGUACAGGAGCUUGACUAAUUAAUUACAUGUGGCUCCAAGUCUGUUUUCUGGAUCUCUUGCAGACCUCUGGAUGCUGCAGUGAUCCCAGUCGGCACAGAAGCUGCUAUGAUGCUGAGAUGUGUCUUACCACGUGUUGCCCACCUCCCAGCAUAGAGCUGCACAGAGCAGCAGGAUGCAUGAGGCUCUCUCUCCUCAACAGCCCUCAGUGGUGCUCCUAUGGGUUUGGGUGCUCGUGUGAGGCAGUGAGAGGAGUAUGAGGAGUGCUGCGUUCUGCUGGGUCACUGGUGCUGGGCAGAAACUUCAGCCCUAGGGGGGUGUAAGGCCUCAACAUUACUUUAUAGUAUAUGUACAUCUAGGAAACAAGGAACUACCACUAAUAACAGCAAAGUCUGUACCAAGAGCUCUGCAGCAGACAUCUGACCACAGCCGAAGCCACAUUUAAAGCAAGGCAGUGUCUCUGUAAGAGCUAACAUCAGUAUAACAAAGUGAUGCCAGAGGGAACAAGUUAGGAGAAAUGUUUCCAUGGAGUGGUAGUUGGUUUCUUUUCUCUUCCCCCCCGCACCCCUUUCUCCUUUCUUUUCCUUACAUCUUCCUAUUAUUUUUUUCAUCUUGAAUUCGUACUUAAACCUUUCCAACCUUUCUGAGAGUCAGGAGAAUGGUUCUGAGAGUCAGGAGCCCCUCAGAAAAGGUCAGACAACCCAAGUGCACGGCAUUCUGGCUUUCCCAUGGGCCUUCCAGUAGUAUGGCACUCAGUCAAAGCAAACAUGAAUUUUAUCUGUCAGAAGCAAGCUUUAAAGCUCGGUGAUGUGUCUAUAGCUUAAGGUACUUUUACUUUUUUGUGUUGUACAGGUUUUAUUUCUCUCCAUUAAACAUAAGCAGUCUUUUGUUUUCCUUCAUGAACCUGGUCAUUUUUCUAUAUGUUUCGAUGAGAAUUGCAUUGGGCUUCUCCCUGCCUUUCGUAGGGCAGCAUUGAUCUCUUUUUCCAUUUUGGAGAGAGCUGAAUAGAUGGCUAUGUCUAACGAGAGGAGCUUAUCCUUUGUGUUUACAGUUCAUUUCAGGAUAUCUUUCAGUAUGACUGAUCUAUAAAUGCUAAUUGUGGGUGAGGCACGUGGUAGGGGGACUUCUGCAGUCUUGCAGUUUAUGUAUAGGCAAUGCAUAUUGCUCUUCCUAAGGUUAAUAACAGAACUGAUUUUUGUGUGUUGCUCUUCUGAGAGCGACUCAAUCAUUAAUUUUUAGGCCUACAUGCAGGCAGAAUCCUGUUCAUCUCACAAAAUACAAAUAAAUGCUCUGAGGGCUAACUGCAGGAGUUUCUGUAUAAGCUAAAGCUUAACUCUGUAGGACACCACCCCAUCCCCCGCCCAGGAACUGAGCGGAUCAUCACGCCCAGCGUUUGUUUUCAACACCACCUUUGUGAAAGCACCUCAGCACAUCUGACUUGCAGGUUGCCUUCUCCCAUGUAGGCUCAUGGUGUCUCACGCUGCCCAGUUAGAGUGCUGGGUACCGUGGGGUUUUCACGACCUUCCUCAUCUGUCUGCAUGUCCUCCCUCGAGUUAUCUGGAAGCUGAGAUGUCUUCUCCACUGGUGUCCUCGAAGUGGGUUAAACUGGAGGACGGAAGCUCCCGAGAGUUUCUAAUGCUGUGGUCUUCCGACAACUCAAAUGAUUUUGGUGACUCAUAAGGAGACACAAAGGCCACCUUUUUCUCUGACUGUGAAAAUCAGAUGGCAAAACCCAACAAAUUAGGCCUGAAAGAACAGAAAAACCUCUCUUUGGUUGCCUGGGAGGGAGGAAAGGAUGGGGAUCAAUGGAUUCACUACAAAAGCAGUCACAAAGUUUCCUUUCUGUCCUGUCAUCCGUAGUGUCUUCAAAAACACUUCUUCCUGAGACAGAGCUUGAACUGGUUCUUUUUCAACUUCAGCCCUUUACGCUAUUACAACUAAUCCCCAGUGGAAAUAUUUCUUUUCCUUUCAUUACUUUUUGUGCGAAUAUUUAUACAGUUAUCUCGCUGUUUCCUUUAAUUUGUAUCCCUUUAGACCAAAUAAAUUUAGUUGCUGUCAUCUUGCUUUCAAAGUUGUAUUCUUAAGUAAUAAAGCAACAUUAAAUAUAGUUGGAAACAGACAACAUGAUGCACCUGAGGCUUCACAAUAAUUCAUGCUUUUGGACACAAUAGUGUCCAUUUUACUAAGACCAGCAAUACACUGCUGUGAAUGAGUCCCUUGUCAGGAGUUUUUGAGCAUUUGAAAUAACAGCUGUCUUUUAAAAUAAUUACGUGUGCGUGGCGUAAAAGCCUAUGUUUGAGAUUUUAUGUAAAUUCUCCAUCCUGUUUUAACAGUAAUUACAGUGAGAACUUGGAUAUUUAAUUUUUAAACACUGAAUUAAUUUUUUUUUCCUUUUUCUUGUUUGAGCACCGUGCAAUAGCUUGGAAACUCCUGUGACAUCUGACAAGGGACUUCACGGUUCCUGAUGGAACGUGUUGCACGCUCCCUCACAUCCUGCUCUGGCAACAGUAACGCCAUUCAUCCUCCAGCAAGUGGGGCUGGGAGGAAGUCCAGGUUUAUCGCUCUUUUCCUGGGGGGAUUGGAAGGUUCAGGAAAUUAUGGGAUUUAGAGAUCCUUAACUUCUAAAGUAUUUGCUUGAACUGCUCGUAACUGAGCAAUUCAAUGUGCCGCAUAUAUUUUCAAAGACUCUUGCUUACAAUUUGUGUAUUAAAUGGUAUUCUGCAGUAGGCUUUUUAGCUGGCUUACCUGGAAAAAUAGUGUAGAAGUUAAAGAUGGAAUUCCAAGCAUUUGGCAGAAAUUGGCUCCUGUGCAAUUAUAGUAUAUCAAUUGCUAUUUGAUGUACACACUGUACUGCAAGUCAUUGCCUGGUAGUGUAUGCAGGCCUUCCAUUAGCUUCUCUUUGGAGCUACUCUUGAAAUGAAAAGUGGAUGCGAUGAGCACUGGAGGUUUAUCACCAAUUUCUCUUUGAAGAUCUUGACUGCCACUGGUUAAAACUUCUAAGUAAACUUCGGCAGCGUUAUUGAGAUGAUUACACUGGCACUGACUAAUAUUUCCAAUGGUUUGACCAGUAAUUUGAGCUGUGCAAACUCAUGCUUUUGGCUCCAAGCAUUGGGUAUUUUAAAGCAGGCUCACAAUGAGUGAUAGGAAGUUACCUUUCCCAGGUAACACUCUAGACACUUUUUGCCUAUAUACUUAGUUUAAAUUUACUAAGCAAGUAAGCAAUAAAAUAAGGUCCAUAGGGGUAUAUAUAACCAGAGUUGCUUGAAUUUACUGCCAAGAGAUGCAUGAUGAGUAUGAUUAAGAGGCACUUUAUGCUGACUUUCUAAUAACUCUCUGCUAAAAUAUGUACUUCAGACAGUUCUGUCAGCUUUAUUGUUACUUUCUAAUUUUGGUCUAAAGAUUUUUAUCAGAUGUGAUUUUUCCCUUUAGGGAUUAUAGGAUGCAUAAAUUUUUGAAGAUGAGAGAGUUCCUGUGAUUCAUUCCUGGGCUCCAGUGGGUAAGAUGAAGCUCCUUACCAGUGUCUGUAGGAAGUGUUGUUUCUUACUCACUCUGAAUUCUUUUCUUGAAUCUUCAGAUCUUUGUUGUUUUUUUUUUUUAAUAUUAUUUAUUAUAUAGAAAAAAAAAUCCUUUAUGUUUGAGAUCAGGGGGGCUGUAUCCUAGUGUGAAUAAAGGAAGUGUUAUUCUUUUCAUUACUGGAAAGAAAUGGAGCUGAAUUCACAUAAUUUUGCUUGUAUUACAACUGAGUUCAGACUGUGAUUGUGCUGAAAGAAUGUAGAAACUGAAGUCAUCUUUGGAAACCUACUGCCCCAAAACUAAAUAUAUUUUGUUAUCUUCAUUUUCAUGAUGAAAAUUAUUUCAGUCUUAUAUCUUUAAAUAAAUAUUUAAACUGUAUCCAUCUUAGCCAUGAGUCAAAUGUGUUUUGGACUUGACUCACUUGCCCAGCAUAAGUGUUGCUGCUCUCAGCCUGUCUGGAUUCUUGCUUUGGUCCAGAAGGGCACCAGUGACUCAUAACUCCAGUGUCACAUCAGUCAGACCUGCAUAGACAUAACUACAUCAAACCACACCUCUAAUGCCUAGGAGGACCUUGCAGAAGAAAAAAGUAGAAAACCAACUUUGCCAUUUCUUGGUAACAACAGAGUGAAAAUUCAUAGAAUUUUUUACUUUCUUGUAAAAUAUUUUGACUUUCUGGUAACAGCCCACAGAGGCAACAUGAGUCUACAGGCUCAGUUCAGAUCCAUAAGCACAGGUGUCCAGUUGGUUACUAGUAAUCCUGCCUGACCUCCUGUAUCCUAACUGCUAACCUUGUAAACACAUUCUGGUUGCAUAAACCGCUGUCUUUUGUCAAGAUUAAUCUAUCUACAGCUUCUUUUGUCUGUAUCUUGGCUUCGGAGGAGGGUCGCCCACUCAGCCAUCAGACAGAAGCAGUUCAGUGUCCAGUGAUAGCACAGAUGUCCUCAUGCAGUUCUCCUGGCUCCCAGAUACAACUCUGAAAGGAUGAGAGUCUCACAGAAAUGUUGUGUCCUGUCUUAUAGCCCUGUCUGGACAUCUGAGAUACCUCAGAGAAUCCGCUCAACCUUGAGUUACUCAAUAGCCUUUACUCUUCUCUUGUCCUUUUGAAGAAUGGGUUUGUAGGGACAAGCUGAUAGCAGUCCAUUCCACCUUCAGGAAACCAUAUCUGGUAAAGGAUGGGACUCAUUUCACCUAACGGUAGAGACCAAAUUCUUAGCUAGUUUACAGUGAGAGUCUAGAUUCCUAGCUUAGAAAUACAAGCACUUUGAGACAGGUUUUGUGAUGAGGAGCUGCCUAGGAUGAGUGAGGUGAUGCUACCUGCUUCUUACUUGUGACUGAAGAAGAAACCUGGGUGACUAAUUUGAACUACAGCCUCAGAGGGUAUAUCUACACAGGGAUAAUCUAGGUAUAUCUACACAAGGAAACCAUAAUGAGCCUGCAAGAGAGCAUAGGGGCACAGCCAGGUAUAGCUUUAGUACACUGCCACUGAAAAUGGGAAUGCAGCUUUGCUGCUGCAUUCAGGUCCAAAGCCAUGCCUUGGGGUGGCUGUAGCUAGGCUGUUGGCUGUAGGGUAUACAGCACUUGGAAAACCGUGCAGCAGGUAAACUCCACUGCAACACUCACCAUAUGGUCCGGGCUAUGGAUCACCAAACUACCCCAUCUUGUUUCAAAACCACCCAUUAAUUAGCACAGUGGCUGUGUAAAACCAUUUUAUGAAGUUCAGUGUGGAUUUGCUUAAAUAUUUGCCCUUUUUCUCAGGUGUUUUUUGUUUGUUUGUUUUGUUUUGGUGGGACUUGCCAAGUUCCAUGUUCCUGCUGCACUUUAGGAGUAUUUAGGAUCAUUAGCCUUAAGCUUAACGUGAUCUUUUCUGGGAGGGUUGUGCAAAGCCUGCAACAGACAUACUUCCCUCUCAGGGAGCUAUUUAUGUCUCUUUAGAAAUCCUCAGGCCAAACUGAAGACACCCAUUUCCUCUUUGUGGCAAUAGAAGUUCCCCAGGGAAAGUCCCGGGGCAUUGGCCCUGAGCUGUCAAACCAAACACACAGCACUGCUUCUUCUGAGUACGUGAUGAAUCUCAUGGUUGUGUGAUGGUCUACAAGCCAACUCAUUUUUCUAUUCCUUUUGUCUUCACCUCAUCCUAUGAUAGCUAUAUGUGUAUGUGUAGACAUAAACACACACAUACAUACUGUAAUUGGGAAUGUGGGUGGGCUAUGCUCCUAGUUGUAUUUUAGAAAGCUAAAAUUAGGCUUCUGGUGUUAAAACUGCAUACAGUGCCCAGAGCUGUGGUUCAGCUUUGCUUUCUCACUGUUUCCUCAGUAACCAUAGCUACUGCACCUUCAUCACUGUGAGCUUAUUUCUCCGAGAUUCCUUCUUUUAGAAUUACUGGUGUAAUUUCUUACAAAUACCAGCGGAAAGCUCCCAUAAUGAACACCCCUCUCUUCCUCUGGCCUCAAUCCCUUUCCUGGCCUAACUUUUCCACCCGUAAAUAAAACCUGCUCCCAGUUUGCUCUGUGCUUGGUUUCCCACCAAACAAAAUUGGUUAGUCACCAAUUUGCCUGUACUCCUUUUGGUUGAUGAGAGCCCUUGAUGCCACCUGUGUCUAACCUCAAGAAAAUAACUAGUGCUCCUGGCUCCUGCUGAGUAUGGUGAUGCUCAGCAGUAAAGCUUAAAAGAUUGAUUAUCCUGAGUCAUUUUCACCAGCUACCAGAGCUGCUAGUAUUUUUUAAAAAUAUAUACUCACAGUGCCUCUCUUCAUAAAAAGUAUGCAAGGAUUUCAGGUCUUUGGCUAGCAGGGGAGCAUAAAUCAUCACAGACACUGUGAUGCUGAUGAUUUGUAUUCUCGUAGCACCUAUUCCAUAGUUCUGAACAGCUACAAAAUACAAGGCAUUCCCUUGCCCCAGAUGAUGGAUAAUCUUGGCAUAGAAGAGGGAAAAUAGCAGAUGGAUAUAGAUGCAUGGGGAGAUACAGUCGGUCUGGGUAGGGAUGAUGCCAGUCUUAGCAACUGUCUAACUGCAGUUGAAUUUUUGAGGCUUUAUGACUGGAUCAUUUCAAAGGACAGAUACAACAUAAGGAUGACUGUUAUUGUGCUAUCAUAAAAGAAAAGGAGGAAUAUUUUGUAACAUAUCUAAUAAGUAAGGAAAGUCAUUCCUUUUUUGUGUGAUACCUGUUUACACUGUGGACUUCUACGUGAAUAACUCACUGCUGUAGUUGUCACAAUCCAAACCAAUGCACUGCCAUAAAAACAAAGGCUAGACCAUGACACUUUAUUAUUAUUAUUAUUAUUAUUAUUAUUAUUAUUAUUAAUUUUGACAUAGAACAUGGCUGUCAAAAAUGCUCUGCCUAGGUGAGCAGAAUCCAGUUUAAGAUCAAUGCCUUAGUGCAGGUGACUAUAGCUCUUGGUAGUGCUGCAUACUCCCAUUUCAGUGAGUGUAGAGGGCCUCAGCUAAACAGCCAUCAGCUGUCUGCUCUGCAGUGAGUCAAAUCAUUCUUAGGCUCCCUUAGCUGCAUUGGUUAGGUUGUCAUUGACUAUAACAGAUCUUGUUGGUUAGAUUUCCCACUGAGUGUCUUGGAGCUUGGAGGCACAGCCUAAAUUUCCAACCUGUUCCAUCCUGUUGUCCAAUUUCAGGUGGUCUGCUCAAAUGUAUCUCCCAAAUGAGAUGUCUCCAGCUUGGCCAAUAGAGUAUGCUUUUUAGAUGUAGGUUUACUGUAAGAUAAGUAUCAUAUCUUGCUGUGCUGGACAUCUCUGAUUCCUCUGAAUACCUCAGACGUCACCAGACAUCAGAGUUUGGAUGACUAAUUCAACUGUCCUUGCCCUUUAAUGCUUAAGAAGCCUGCUCAGAGCCUGCCAUCAUGAUGUAUGUCUUCACGUUGGUAGUCUCAAGAGCUGGUGUAUGAGCAGUGGCUAAAGGAUGACUUGGUAGCUAUCUCUUUCCUAGUGUUGGAGGAAUGCUCAGCCUAGAUCUAUGCAGAGGUAGCAUCCCACUAGGGACAAAGAAUUUGAUGUGGGAGUGAAAGAAAGCUAGUAGGCAGAGAUCCCACACAGCAUGUUCUCAGUUAAAUGCUUCAGGUUGCCAUGGCUUUUACUACAAUACACUGUCAAUGCUGUAUUCUUAUUUUGAAUGUCUUGUCAUGCAUGUCACAUGAACUGAUCGCUGUCUCUGCACUUUGUACCAGUGACUCAGCUCAGCAGGGAACAGAUACAGCAGGAGCUACCCAUCAGGUAACAGCAAUGUGGCAUCACUGGCAUAGGGGUGCAGUGGGCUUUCUGUAGACUGGGUGCAAACUUUUUCCCUGACACCAGGCAAACUCACGAGCUGCCAGACUCCGUGGUUUGUGCCCUCAUGACAGGGCUGUGGUGUUGAUGUGCCUUUCACUUGCUGUAGUACUUCACAGACCAGGUGAUGGCACCUCACAGAUCUAUGCCGGCGUCUAACAGGCACACAAGGUCAACCUUAGGGCUAGGAAACUAAGAGAUCCAUGCUUUGGUCCUGCAUCUUGUGCGUACAGCCCACUGAGGUGAAGACACAUCAUUUUCUUGGUGUUACCAACCUCAUCCACCCUUCUUCACUCUCUAUGCUCAUUUUCCAUGUUAUUUUGUUGCAUUUUGCAUUUAGUUUUGUGGGUAAACAAUGGUACUGGACUCAUGCACGCUAUCUGACUUGCACCAGUGCUAACACGAGCUGAUCCCAAGUGAGUUACUCAAGGUCAAGGAUGUAGCUUGCUUUCUCUGGUUUUGUACACAGGGCUGUACAAUAAGUCCUUGACUGGGACAAGCAACUUGCUUUAAUACAAGAAAAAAGUUGUUUAUUUGCAAGGAGAGCAAGACUGAUGCUGCUGUUAUGAAAAGCAGGCAUGAGGAAGGAUGUAAAUUUUUGUUCACAUCUAAACUGUAUGAUUUUCUCUAUAUUGUUAUAUUGAUUAGCUUUGCUAACCUUCUCCACUCUUGGAGGAGAUAAAUGCUUGUGGUAGAAGAAUUCUUGGUUACUUCAGCAUACACCUCUUUUGCAAAUGAAAGGAAGUGUUAGAGAAUGAAGAAGCAGCCCUGCAUCAGUGUAUGAAACUGUGUUACAUGCAGAGACAUCCACAGAGGACCAGAACUGUCUGUGUUGGUUUGUUGCCGUGCAGAGAAGCUGCAAUUAUAUUAAUCUAUCCUUUUACUGAAGUGGAAAUAGGAAUACUUUUUGAUCAAAGAUUACAAAGACUGCUUUUAAAUGUCAGUUUUUAAAGGACAUUAGCUAUUAAGAGAUGUACUGGAUAGUGUCCCCUUGGUUUUGAGUAUAGUAUGCAAAAAUAAGAAUGUAAUGGCUCCUCGUGGCAGGCUGCAUUUAGACUUCGUGGUGGUUUGGUGCUAACUCAGAAAAUCAGAACAAAACUUUAAUUUUUUGUACGUGCAGAGCUGCAGUGAUUCCACAUGCAUUCCUUUCCAUACUACACCUGUCUUACAGAGCAGACAACUUGUGAGGUAUCCUGAUUCCAACAUAUACAUAAUUCUGGAAAAAUAAAAUAAAAAAGAUAUUUUUGAUACUAUUUAUGUAGCAGCUUUACUAAAAUUUACUCAGAAUGGUGUCCUUGGGAAAGCACAAUUUUAACCACGUGAAAGGUUGAAAGAGUUUACUAAUCCCAAGAGAAAGAAACUACAGAAACUUGCCAAAUUUAGUUGUUUUAAUUAGAGAUAUUACAGAAAACAGUACGUCAUUUUCUUCCAGAGAAUCAGUGUUCAUUUACUUACAGGAAGGGUAAAAGGUUAUGAAACUUUCCUGAAAGUAUACAAAUACAUUGCAUGAGGAAGACCUUGAAGUUUGUGAAGCAAAGGCAGCACCCUUAGACUAUGUCAUGCCUGGCACUUCUUGUAAAUGACCACUUGGAGUGAUUGCUCCAAGGUGUUGUAAACUGGUUGGGAUGAAGUUGAGGUUCUUCACGAUGGCUCUGUAUGGUGCUGUGUUUUGGAUUUGUAGCUGAAACAGUGUUAGCACACCAAUGGGUUGGUGCUAAGCAGUGCUUGCACAGUAUUAGAACCUUCUCUUUUUCCCACUCAGCCCCCACAGGAAGCGAGUGGGCAGGAGAGUGGGAGGGCAGCACAGCUGGGACAGCAGACCCAAAUGAACCAAAGAAAAGCUGAGGUAGGAGAAGAAAGGGUGGGCCAAUGUUCAGAGACUGGCAGGACAUUGGUCUGCCUGUGCAAUCUCCUGUGUUUCACUUCUAUUAUUCUCUUCCUUUACCUAUUAAAAUGUCUUUCUCUGAACCCACAGGCUCUGUCACUUUUGUUCUUCCUAUGUUCUCCUUCCUUCCUACUAGAUGAAAGGAAUGAGCAAGCAGGCCGCCAUGGUCCUUUUUGAUGCCUAGCAUGGGGCUUGAGAGGUUUCAGACAAGGAGAGAAUGGCACCUUCUCUUUCUCCUCUGGGACAGAAGUUGCCAGUCUUGUGCAAUGACUCUUUAAGUUCUUGGGCAUCCCUGCACAACAAGGGCUGUCACACCAGUGUGGGCCAUGAAUAUGACUUUGUCUUUGCUUAAGAAUAAUCAACUAGCAGGGAAUAUGGCACAGGAAUCUGCUCAGAAGCAGCCUGGGUGACAAAGAGGGAAAGACAAUCUGGAUUCUGUCCUAGGUCCGGCUAGGAUGGAGUUAACUCUCUUCAUAGCCACCUAUGUGGUGCAGUGCUCUGGAUCUGUGACUAAAGCAGUGCUGGUAGCACCCUAAAACCAUACAGCAGCUGGUAUGCCAACACAGUUGGACAUCAAAGUGCCAUCAGGUCUCCAAAGAAGUAUCUCCAAAGGACUGAACCAAAACCAAUGGGAAUUCAGGACCAUCUUUAAGCAUACGUCAGUGUGUUCCAGGCCAUCCUGGUAGGGCCCUGUUUACUGAUAGUUUUCAUCGGCUCCUUGUGCCAUCUUGUAAUUUACAGAUUAACCUAAAGAGUCCUCUUUUGCAGUGGGACACCAGUAGUGGUGGUAAUACUUGAUUAUCAGGUGUGUAAUAUAACUUCCUAAUUAAGAAACUGGUGCACUUGGGUCACUAGUGCUCGAAACGGUCCUUAUGCUUUGUUUUGCAGUUUGUGCUGUACUUUUGCAGCCAUAUAAACCUGUAGGUGAUAACAUCAUAGUUAGCUUACAAUAAUUUAUGCUUGGAUGAAGUCCUGAAGCUGUACUGCUAUAAACAAAAUCCCACAGUUGGCUGUAUUUUGAAUUUACUAGCCAUCUCAGACAGAUAGACUAACUCCGGAAGCAUGGAAUCAGUAAUCAGUAAUCAUAGAAUCAUAGAAUCAUAGAAUGGCCUGAGUUGAAAAGGACCAUAAUGACCAUCUAGUUUCAACCCCCCUGCUACGUGCAGGGUCGCCAACCACGAGACCAGGCUGCCCAGAGCCACAUCCAGCCUGGCCUUGAAUGCCUCCAGGGAUGGGGCAUCCACAGCCUCCUUGGGCAACCUGUUCCAGUGCGUCACCACCCUCUGUGUGAAAAACUUCUUCCUAAUAUCCAACCUAAACCUCCCCUGUCUCAGUUUAAAACUAUUCCCCCUUGUCCUAUCACUAUCCACCCUCGUAAACAGCUGUUCCCCCUCCUGUUUAUACGCUCCCUUCAAGUACUGGAAGGCUGCAAUGAGGUCUCCCCGGAGCCUUCUCUUCUCCAAGCAUCAGCAAAUACAUUACAUUCUCAAUUAAUUCACUACUGCAGGUCUUGUGAAGGGCUUGUUUCUGCCUAUGUUUAAAGGAUGCUUCCUUUUUUUUUAACAAUGCAUUUUGUAAAAGUAGUACAGAGUCCAUCUGGCAGCAAUUCAUUUCAUUCACUUUUAAGUCUGCUAGCUUAGCCAUCUUGUUUUCCUAAACUUCUCCAGUGGUUAAAGAAGCAAGGACCUUUUCUUGGUCCUUUUUCACUUCUUCACUUUAUCUUUUAUUAGAAGAUAGUGAGAACUGACAGCAGACCUGUAGUGCAAAACAGUCAGUGCUGAGGACCUGGCCCUUACAAUAUGAAUAUUUUGGAGACCUUUUUCUUCUUGAGACUAGCCCUCGUCUACUCCUAUGGACUGAAUGCCCACUGCACCCGGAGUGGAUUAUGUGCACUCCUGUACUUUAUCUUCCAGAUUGUUUUAUCUAAAAAAAUUAGGUUAAUAUGUGCUUUGAGACUGUGUGAAUCAUAAUGUGAACCAAAGCCCAGAAGGUGGAAGGAAUGGAAGGUUAGUGGUAAAAGCAUUCUUCUGAUCCAGACUUACACACUGAUAGAGAUGCACUCUCAAAGAAAAAGAAAGAGAGACUUCUUCAGUCCUAAGUUUAAAUGUUUGUGUUAGGAUUAAGUGAAUAAUGACCUAAAAGUUCCAGUUUCUCUCCAGGAGACUCUGAGCAAGUAGUUAGAGGCACACAUGCUGAAAAUGUCUGAUGUUGCAUGGGAAGCCAACAUCUUCUUUCUGUAUCUGAGAGAGAUGACAGAGAUGUACUUGAGGAUUCCUUUUGAGUUCUAUUUUGUUAUGCUUUUUGCUGUUGGGGGUUUUUUUGUUGUUGUUGUUGCUUUUUUUUUUUUUAAGUCAAAUUGAAUCACUUCUCAUUUUCCAUCAUUUUCAUAGCCAGUAUGCUAAUCAUGAUUUCUUUCACAAAUUUUAUUCAUUUCCUGAUGUUUUCUUCCUGGCUCAGAACGUCUCACAAACACAUCAACCAUCACUAGCUUUCACCCCACCAUCUGAGCGCCAACCUCAUUAAAUCUCAGGACUGCAUAAAGGAAUACUGAUGCUGGAAGGAGGUUUAAAUCAUAUAUUGGUGGAUAGCUGAUGGCACUGAGAGCCUGUGGUCUAUGAACAUACUGAAUUAUCAAGCUCCUUAAAGAAGUAAUGAAUACUGCUCAUACUAUCUGCAACGAGCAUUCCUUUGUAAUACAGAUGAAAGAACACACCAAAGCCAUGAUAGUGGAGCUGUGUCUGCUGAAAAAACAGUGCUGAGGAUGAUUUCUCCUACUCGACACUUUUAGACCUAAAACUAUGCUGUGGGAUUUGGUUUUGGUUUGUUUGCUUGCUUGCUUUUGGCAUGCUCUCAGAACUACAGAUUAUUUGGCAGCUGAAGGCCAGCUAUGAGUUGUGUUGCAGGGUGACACAUUUCAUGGAAAUUUAAUGCAAAUAGCAAUCAUUCUCAUCAGGAGCAGAAACAGGAGAUCUCUCGCCUUUCUAGCAACUGCAGACACCUGCAUGAGAGUGAACUGCAUGAGAGUGAAUUGCUUGUGUCAAGCCAGCUGCCUUACAAAACAUCCAGCACAAUGGAUGCUUUUUACGACCAACAAACUUAAAAUUACUGCUCUUGUAUGCCUGGAAACCUUUAUUUCAUUUUCAUACUGUUUCCUUUGAAGAAUUUAUUAAUGCAUGCAAACAUGUAGCGUGUUCUUUUAACCUGUGUUUGCUGCAAUGUUUACAUUAUCUCCUGAUCUUAACCUGUAGCUUCCCAUUACGAAGACAUGUUACCAUAAAACACCACAAGGCAAAAAAAUGCCAUCGUUUUAAUGUUCUGCAAGUGUGCUACAAGUAAACUGUGCUGUACUGAACUCGGUCAAAAUACUCAAUGCAUUUUGAGCACACUACCACCAAUAUAUUGGUGGCCCACUUUGCCACACGCAGAAGGACAAUGAUGUGCUUAUUGACGCAUCUCUUUAUUCUGAACAGAGGGAACUCACUUGGAUGCCACUGGUCCAUUCAGCCCGGCCAAACACUGGUUUAAAAAACAGUGAUGUCUUUCCCAAGCACAUCAGAGGCUGCCUGUACUGUACAGAGGCUGCAAAGGGUUCAGGCUGUACUACGGGAUGUUACAAAGAUAAGCAAGCUGAUUUUGGAAUAUUGCACACACUUACCGUAUUCAGAUGAUUUUAGUUACUGCACCAGACUCCUAAAGUGAAUAUUCUUUAGGAUUACUUGUUAAGGCAUAACCCAGCUUGCCCAUAUCAGAAGAGUUUUCUAUACUUUGUUCACUCUUCAGCGUCACCUGCAGUAGUAUUACAGCUCUUCAACUUGCCACCUUGCAUGCUCCAUUCAGGUGACAAGAACACUUAAUGGCACUGAGCAGAUAAAGGGCUGGAGGGCUUUUACAGGCUCUACUAAAGUGCUUUCUUCAGACUAGAAGUGCACAAUACCACGGUGAUAAGGCUGUCCUGUGCUGAUCUAAGGAAGCCUCUGAUAAGGAAUAUAAUAGGAGCAAUAGGUAAGAUUAAAAAAAAAAAAACUUUCAUUCCAAAAACUGUGUAUCUGUGUAUACCAACUGCUUACAGAGUUUUCUCUGAAGCUCAUGUUUGCAAAGUGUUGCAUGCUUCAGCUCCAUCUUAAAUGGUUUCAUGCCACAAACCGUGGGCCAUUUAUUGCUCAUCACUCCAAAGCCAUUGAACUCUUCAGCUGGGCAGUCUGCUCUCUCCAGCCUUCCCACUGAGAAUAAACAAGAAAUUGGCAGGGAUGGGGAGAAGGGGACAUCAAAGAGUGCCAGGAAGGGCCAACUCAGAACAGCCCUACCCUAUGCAGCCAGGGACUGGGCUGGUGUUUUAGUGCCAUGCACAAUAGUUUAACUAUGUGAAUCAGCCCACACAGCUGUAAAAAUCACUGGACCCGUGAUAAGAAAAUGAAAGACAGUACUGUUGAUGGUUUCUGGGUUCGCUUGUUUGCUUUUAUAUCUCACUCUCUGUAUAUCUGCCUUAAUCACAAGCUAAAAGCCUUGUGAAGGAUCAGCGACCUAAAUAAAAACUGCAUCUCUGAUUAAUUUCACCAGCUUUUUUA